AUCAAAGUGUACAGAUUGUGUGCGCAUGUCACAAAAGUACAUCUUGGGUAGAAGUGAAGACUAAAAUUUGUCAGUUUGACAUUAACCAGGCUUUUAAAAGUGCUUUCUGUGAGUAGAACAUUUAUUCUGUGGUUCAUUAUUAAAUUAAAGGCAGUAGAACAUGGAAACGGUUAAUAUUGCAAUUUUAUUUUUAAAUACAUACACUCUGAAGCCACAGUUGACAUCAGUGAGCGACUGCCGUCAAUAAGCCUCCAUUCGUAUCCCCUUACUAACACAUCCUCUGGCUGCUUCUGCUAGAAACAUCACAUGACCUGAUGAACUGAACGUAUAAUAUCUGUAUUUACUGAAAACAUCCCUAUAGUAAAUAGUUGUAUUCAGGAGUUUAAGGUGGUUCAAAGGUGGAGCUCUGGAUGCGUGUUGAGGAUCACAGUGUUGUGUUCCUACCCCGUCACCACGGACAACACGACACUGAGCCCCAACGACUGGUUGAGGCUCUAAGCUAAUCGACCCAUAUGCCUGUUGACAAAGGCACCCCCUCCUCUCCCUCCUCCUCUUCCUCCUCCUCUUCCUCCCCUCCCAGCACUUGCACAUCCUGCUGUGGAGGUGGGGGGCCCCACCGCAGUGGGCCCCUCAGUCUCCGGCCUCCUCAGUCUUCGUCCUCCUCCUCCUCCUCCUCCUUGUCCUGCUCCGCAGGCAGGGCGGGGCUCAGGUACUGUAGGAUGGGGCUGAGCAGCACCUCGAUGGCGGACGGUCUCCGCUGGGCGGUAACCGGAGGGCGCUCCUCCUCAGCCUCCUCCUUCAGCUCCUCCACCUCCUUCUCCUCCGCCACCCCGGCCCCCUCGGCCUCGGGGACCAGGGCCCCGGCCCCGCCCUGGUCCGCCGGGCCGGUGGGGCUCAGGUAGUCGAAGGCCUUCUGGCCCUGGGACACGAACUGUAGGAUGGGGCUGAGCAGCAGCUCGGUGGCAGAGGGCCUGCGCUGAGGGGUGACGGGGGGGCACUUCCCGGGGUCCGGGCCCCCGCCGUUGGGCAUGCCGGGCGUGGCCGCGCCGGCCCCCUGGGGGUUGGCGGCGUUGCCGGAGCCCAGCCGCGCCCGGGAGUACAGGCUCUUGCGGCGGCGUGGCCGGCCGUCCAUGGCCUUGAGGAACAGGCUGCUGGUGGAGUGGGGGGUGGCAGCGGCGAUCUGGGUGGUGAGGC
ensembl:lncRNA